rnacentral:lncRNA from 1 species
UGUUUUAUUUAUAAUAUGAUAAUAACAACCACCUAGUGGUAGCUGAUUUAUUUAUUACAUGCUAAUAACAACCAUGAGUUGAUAGUUGAUUUAUUUAUUAUAUGCUAAUAACAGCUAUCAGCUAGUGGUUGAUUUAUUUAUUAAUUGCAGUCUUGUUCAUUUACUUCAGUCUUUUUAUUUAAUUAUGUUAAAUCAUAUGUGAAUCCUAAUUUGUACUUGUACUCACAGAAAAUAAACCUAAGAAUUCAUCAAAGGAAAUAAAAGAUAAACGACAAUACAAAUAUUGCGUUUUGUUUUGUCUUAUUUUUUAAAAUUUUAUUUUCAAAUAUAUACGCAUGCAUGAUAAAGAUUCACAAUUAUAUAUAUAUAUAUAUAUAUAUAUAUAUAAUCCGUCGAGGUGUUUUAGUUGACUAGCUAGUAUAAACUACCAUCUACCAAAUCGUUAUUAGCUAACGAGCUAGUGUAAAUUUUCAUCUUGGAAGCUAGUAUAAACUAUCAUCUAUAAAAUUGUUAUUAGUAGAGGAACUACGAAUGUAAACUAUCGUCUAACAAACUGUAUUAGUUGAUGAGCUAGUGUAAAUUACUAUCAUUUACCAAAUAGUUAGAUAGACUGUUGGCUACAGUCAAAUGUGUUUUGGAUCAAUUCCUAUAUAUGUGUGUGUGUGAAAAAUUCAUGAAAAUCUAAAACUUAGUUGUUUUGGUACUAUUGAAUUGAUUUAUCUUUUCAUCUUUAUUUUUUUUUAAUUUACUACCCGACCCAAAUCUUUUCUCUUCUCGUAUCAAUAGUAAGUUUAAGAUUGGAUGAUAUUUUUGUCCCUUCAUUUUUUGUCAAUUGAGUCCUUAAAGUGGUCAAUUGAUGUCAAUUCUGUCUCUUUUCUCCAAAUUAACCCAAUUUCUUCUAAAUUGAAGUACAUGCUCGGCAUAUAUAUGCGAUUUAAGUUGGGGCAAAAAUGUCUCCUAACACAAUAAUAAUAAUAAUAAUAAUAAUAAUAAUAAUAAUAAUAAUUCAAAAUUAUCUAAUGAAAAGACAUAAUUUAAGCAGUACCAUCUUGUAAUUUAUGUAAUCACUUUAUUUAAUAUCACAAUAAACCAGCUAGUGAUAGUUGUUUUAUUUAUAAUAUGGUAAUAACAAGCACCUAGUGGUAGUUUGAUUUAUUUAUUACAUGCUAAUAACAACCAUGAGUUGAUAGUUGAUUUAUUUAUUAUAUGCUAAUAACAGCUAUCAGCUAGUGGUUGAUUUAUUUAUAUAUCGUGCUAAUAACAACCAUCAACUAGUAUAUAGUUUCUUGAUUUACUGUUGAUCGGAAGAUUACUGAUCGUUCAUUUAGGUGUUGGUGGGACUAAUGUUAACACCAUAGAUAACUAAACCUGUCUUCAUAGUCACGUUUUCAGUCCCGUCAAGAGCAAAUAUGAUAUCUCCAUAGUCAAACUUAUUGAAGAAUUCCCCAGCUUUGAGCGAAAAUGGUGUGUUUCUCGGAUAAUUCAUCAAUCCAUAUCCGUUCACUUGCGAGGAUCCAUUCGGAAGAGUAAGUGUAAGACUCACCGGACUUGCUAUGUUAAAGUUGUCUUUCAGCAGCACCACAAAAGAUACCUCAUAAGAUAAAUUUUCAAGCUUUUCUGUCAUAUAGUUUCCGUCAACAUGUAGGACUAAGCUACCAAUUAAUUCAGCACUGUCAGGACUGUACAAAAUGAUAGUAGAAUUAAAGUCAGAAACUUUUGAUAUAAGGAGCUUAAAUUCAUUAGGUGAUUUUAUUGAUUUAUUUAUUUUUUGCUGGAAUAUUUUUAAUGCGAGUCCUUCUAUCUAACUAGACUUCAAUAAAAUUUCUAUAGUCCUUCUAUCACUUUAAUUUAAUGACAAAGUUGCUUAUAUAUCCCUAUUUUUAACUGAAUAAAAUUCAGGUGUUUAAACACAAAUCUUGACCUUUGACGUCAAUUAAGUUAACUAAAUCUUAUUUCUACUUACGUAAACUUCCAGCCUGAAGGGUUGGCAUAAUUGAGUUUACUGGCAGGUACAUAAGCGCCAGAACUCUGAAUAAGACGAGAAAAAAAAAUUCAUAUCAUCCAUUACAAAAAAAUUUCACUUGCAAAAUUUACAAAUAUUAAGGAUUAUUUUUGUUCUAUAGCCAACUUUAGCUAUAUAUAUGAUGUUUGUUUACAAUUUCAGUAGACUUACCUUCUGGCCUAUUCCGCCGUUUUGGAGCAACUCCAUUUCCUUGGCUUGGGACAACAAUGCCUUGAGGUCAACCUCAUUAUGCCUCACUACUUGUGCCAUCUCCUCGAUCGAUCGAUAACUAUCCUUUAAUUCUGCUAUAUAUAUAUAUAUAUAUGUAUUUUCUGUUUCUAUUCUUGAUGUCUAUAUAUCUCUCUUCCAAAGGCUAGCUCUAUUUAUACUGGCACAAACAGAGGGUACUGCGAUUAUUAUAUCCCAUAAUAUCCUAUCUUCAAAUAUUCCUUCCCUUUUCAAAGUAGGGAUCCGAUCCUGAUAAGUUUAACAUCAUCAUCAUCAUCAUCAUCAUCAUCGCCAAGGAUAUAGAGCAGCAGAUUCUGUUUAAUAAUUUUGUUGGAAUAAUUCUUUUCCAUUUCCCAGUUCAAUAGUUCUUUCUUUAGCUUGUUGCGCAGGCAAAAUUCCAUGAAGGCGAAAGGCACGUAGGCAUACUAGUUGUGGGCAAGGAAAUUGUACCUUGCUAGGGUUAGGAUUUCGUGUUGGCUGAGGAGGAGAGAAAUUCACGAAGAGCACGGAAUUGAUUGGUUGAUUGAAGAGGGGAGAACGACAGGUGGGCGAUUACUCCAACGACGUGUGGCAGAACCCCUAGAAUCCAGGAACCGUGUUAGGGUAGUAGGGAUUCCAAGAGCCUUCUUGAGUCCUUCGUUCUUGAGAGAAUGUCUAAACCCCUUUUAGUGCUUUUAGGUGGAAUCUCCGAGCCUUUAAGUCACCAAAAAGGGUUCUUUGAUCUUCCGAGAGUCCAAGUCUUGAGUCUAAAGAGAAGUCUCUUUCCCAAUGGAAUGGAAGGGUAUUUAUAGGGUUUUCUGGAAAGUAGUCAUGUGCGAGGCACAUGCUUUCAGGGAAAUUCCAGAAAUGCCCUUUAGUCAUUAGAAUAAUGCCCAUGUUGCCCUGUCCUUCUAGCCACCAAUCCAAUCCCUCAAUUAAUUCCCACAUCGAGCCGCCUCCACGAGUCUUCUGCCUCGGGACACGUGGAGGCUUCUCCCGGGUCUAGCACAUUUAUUUAUGACUUUUUCAUCUUCAUUCCAUUCGGUUAUGCGAACACUAAUUUGCACAUUUAAUGAGGCCGUGGAACCCUAAUUGCGCAUUUAAUUCAAUUAGGUCAUGUGAACUCUAAUUUUACACUUUGGCCCACAUUUGCCCCCUGCGCGAGAGUCGCAUUUUCAAAUAGACGAUCGUGCAAGAAAACUGCAAGCCUUUGAAUGAUUUUGCGGGACUUCACUUUACAUGUCUUGAAGACAAUAGUCCUAGAAGAGGGAACUCCUAGGGAGCCAAACCCUUAGAGUUAAACCCUAGGAAGGCAAGACCUAGCGAGGCUCUUCCUUGGACAUAUUGAAAAAUCUUCUGAAAUCUUUCUGUAUUUUGCCCAAUAUUUAUUUCCAAUUCCGCAAGCAGAUCAACUGUCCGAGCAGCCUCAAUACGAACAGAAACAGAUUCCGAUAACUUGGAAUGGAAAAUAGAAUUAAGACCAGGCAAAACAUUGAAUAGAGCGAUGUAGAGAUCUAAAAUUUCAAACAACUUGAGAAACGAUGGACGGGUACUACUAACGCCUUCUGCAAAGUUAAUCAAGUGCAAGGCGGAUUCUUUAACUAUACCCAUAAAACACACAUCAAAUGUGGAGUUACCAAGUCCACUAAAGAUUUGUUCACAGAGUUUCUUCUCCUUUAUGAAGAGAUCUUCAAAACAAACACGAGAUGCUCGUAUCCACAAUUUGAUCUUUGGUGCCAACAUAUCCCACUCCAAACUCCGGAACUCACCGAUGCUAUAUUUACCGACGCCGAGGUGUCGAAAUUCUGCAUCCACAAUCAACUUCCUUGAAGUCCUGUAGAAUUCAACGCAGUCGCCAACAUUACCGGCUGAGUUCAAUCGUUCAAUGAUACUCCUAAAACCAUAAACUUCGUCAAUAUGUCCAUCAUCCUGUAAUUCAUAGCUAAAAGUAUCGGUUAUUGUACUUGAAAAAAUGGUAGAACUCCUAUCGGCCAAGAAAGCAUUGUGGACUCUGUUGGUUUGUCGGGUCAAUAUGACCCGAAACUCUAACGGAAGGGUUUCCAUGCCCGUUUAGAUCAUGUUUUGAUGCUUUCAGUUUGGGGAUCUGAGAUUAUUCUCGAUCGUCUGAAGCUCGUCAAAAGUACUGAUCAAUCUCAUGGCGGUCUCCGUCGAAGUCGAAGAUGAUGAAUUUAAUAAUUCCGCCCGAAUAUUUUGUGUUCUACCAAUUCCAUUCAGACAAUACAAAAGAGAUAUAUAUAUCUGCCUAAAAAUUGAAAACCGAAAAUCAUCUCUGAACAGCAGGCUUUGAAAAUUACUCCUACUAGUAGUUUAUAAAUAUAAAUACUUUGAAGAUUGUAAGAAGUUCAUAGCCAUCCACUAGUAAAAGUACUUACCAUUACUAAUUGAUGUCACGUUACCGCAAUUAGGACGGAGAGAGAAAGUCGGACCAACUCUUUUUUUUUUUCAAAUCAAACAUUAAUUUUUUAUUUCCAAAAUCAAAUCUUAAUUUUUAUUUUCAAAAUAAAAUCAAAUCUUAAUUUUUUAUUUCCAAAAUAAAAUCAAAUCUUAAUUUUUUAUUUCCAAAAUAAAAUCAAAUCUUUCUUAAUUUGAAAAGAGAUUUUUUUUUUUUGAAAAUGAAAUAAAAUAAAAUCUCUCUUUUUUUUUUUUGGCAAAUCAAAUCAAAUCAUUUUUUUUUAUCAUUCACGCAAAAGAUUUAAGUGCAUGAAUAAAAUAAAAUAAAAAUGCAUGAAUUUAAGAGUCAUAUAAUCUCACAGAUCUAAUGAAGGGGAAUUGCCACAUGCCUACGACAUUCUCUAUGAAAAAAAUGAUGAAUUAAGGCAAAACGAGAUCCAAUCAUGUAUUAUUUUUUUUUUGAAAAUAAAAUAAAUCUUAUUUUAUUAUCUUUCAAAAAAAUAAAAUAAAAUCUUAUUUUAUUAUUAUUAUUUUUUAAAAUAAAUAAAUAAAUAAAUAAAACAUUUACUUAUCUUAUUUUUAAGAAGUAAGGAGUCGAUGAGAAUGUCUUGUAUCCAUAUUGAAGCCUUUGAUAAUUCUUUGAGCAAAGAUGAUUAUAGCUUUUUGAUGAUUCUGACAUCUUUUAUAUGAGACAAGUCUUCACAUGCUUCCGAUUUUUAUUUGCCAUAAAGAAAGAAUCCAUUAAAGCUUCACAUGCCAGUUGCCACUCCUCUGUUAGCCAACAAAAAAAAAAAACAUUGUUUUGCUGCUUUAUUUGGGUGUUAUAGCCACAGGCAAGCCUCUUUCUAUCCACGCCGAACCCUACUGAUUCAAUUUUUUAUUAUUUUUUUUUUAUUAAAAAAAAUCAAGAACUUUUGGAACACUUAUAUUUAGAAGAAGCUUGUACGUAUGGGAAUUGAUGAUCCAAAAACCCACAACCCAAUUCUUAAUCUCAGUUUCUUUCUUGCUAAUCUUUCUCAGUUGAUGAACCCUUUGGAUAAUAUUAACGAUCCUCUUAGGAGGUUGCAAUAUUCAGAUCCCACUCAACUACUAGCCAAAAUCCAAAUUUUACAUAACCUAUUGCAGGCCAUAAAUGUGAGUCCUUCUUUCCCAAAUAUUAAAGUAGUAAACGUGAAUAAUCUCUUGGGAUCAUAUAAUUAUCUUAGCCAAUUUGAUGGAGUGAUCACGAGUGAAGCUAUCAACCCCAUGAUUAAUCCUAUCCCCAACAACCGGCCUUUAAUAUAUAUACUCCAAUCCCAAACUCAUUUGGAUUCUUUAGCCCACAAAUAUUUAACAAUGUUAAUAGCUUAAGUGGUGUUGCAUGCAAUAUUACUCAUCAAACUGAAAAUCAGCUUCCGGAAAGUUCCAAUACCAAGGAAAUGGACAGUAUGAAGCCUACAAACAUCCCCUCCGGUUCAACCAACUCUGACAAUAUCUUUGAGGUUUUGGAGAAAUUUGUUGAUUGUGAUCAAGCCAAUAGUACUUCCUUCUUGCUUCUUUUUUUUUUUUAUUCAGGUAACUCUAGUCUUUCUUUUGUCUUCCGAGCCCCAUUACCUUGAUCAUAUCUUGGUUUUUUCCCUCGGAUCAUAAAGAAAGAUUGGUAUUUUUUUUUUCUUGCAGGCCCUCCCUGUUGAACAUUCUGCAGACUUGGGAACAACCAAGGAGGCCCCGUUUCUCAAUAAUUGGGGAAGGGAUCCCCUCUUUUGGUCUUUCCGACGUCUUUUGAGAGCGAGUCUAGACUUAUAAUCGUACAACACUUCCUCCGCCAGAGAAGAAAGGCGUGUUUCUUUAUGUCGCGGCUUGCGGAGGUUUGGGUGACUUCCUCCCUUCCGAUCGCAUUCUCCGCAUGUGCAUAGAGAAACAAGAAUAGCCUUUCAGUCCCUUUCGCUUCCUGUCUGACUCAUCUGACCGCCUUCAAGGAUGGCAACAUUGGACCGACUUCCCGUUGUGUGCUCUUCUUCAUACACAUUCAUUACUACUUGGGGGGGAAUUCACCCCUAUUCUAGAGGAUGUCUCUGCCCUCCACCAGUAGGUCGUACUUCGGUUUGCCCCCUGCACGUGAGUCACACCUUUGGUGGGACAACCGUGCAUAAUUUCUCCAGCAUUGAAAUCUUGCUACAAAUUUCUUAAUGAUUCGCGGAGCACGAUGGUGCAAGCCUUGAACAUAAAAUCCCUAGGAGGGGAGACCUGUAGGGGGCGAGCCCUAGAGAAGCUCUCCCUGGCUAUCUUGGAAAAAAUCUUCUAUCUUAUCCUUCCGAAUAUUACUUUCUUUUGGAAGUUCUCUCAUUUUCAAAAUUAAGAAGUCAACGAGAAGGCACCGAGUGAACAUACUUCAAAUUGGGGUGAACAAGCGAUGAAGGAGAUCUUUCCUCUAGGUACCCGAAUCCUGAGCGGCUUCAUUCUGGAACAUUGAUUAACGAGCUAGGAGAAGUAAAAGGUAAGAGGGGAGAGCCUCUGUAGGUGUUUGAACCCCAGGGGCCGAACCCUAGAAGACUGCCUAUUCCUUCACUCUUUUUUUCCUUCUUCCUUUCACUUGAAUCUUGGUCGUGUCCUAGCUUGGUUCCCCAAUAUAGUUGAUCGGAUACAUCUUCAUAGGACCCUUCUCCAGAUUUUCUUGCUCGAUUGUCUUCUGAGACUUAUUCUCGAAAUGCACAUUCUCUCUCUAUUAUCUGUGAGCAGAAGACUUAGAGGUGUUUUAGUUGUGAAGUUGAUGACUUCUCGAUCCUUCUUGGGCCUUGACAUGUCUCCCUUCCGUGCUAAGCUGGAUCUCUUCACUUUCAGUUAUCAUGUCAUUGCACUUUGUUCGGAGGUCACUUCACGUCCUCAUGAGAAUGACUUUCUUUAUGUAAGGGCCUCAGGAGCUUCAGGACGUCAUGGAUAGAUUGAAGGCCAAGCUUCGGGAAAUUGAUUCAUCUGCCCAAGACCUUAAGGAACUGUUAGCCUGAAGUUCGAAAGGCUCGAGAUACUGCCAUUGUCGACUUGGAGGCUUUAGCUAUGCCCCCAGUUCAGUUUGAUGUAUCAUGACCUUUGGAUCAUGACUUCAUGUAGCUUUUAUUUCUUCCAUCACUUUUGAAGAUAAAGUGUAUUAUCGAGGAUUUCAGGGUCAAGUGUCUCAAUCACUUUUGAAGUUGAAAGUAUAACUCUUUUUUUUUUCUGGAUCGAGGGCUGAUUAAUCAGGUGCCUCAUUACUUUUGAAGUUGAAAGUAUAACUUUUUUGGGUCGAGGGCUGAUUAAUCAGGUGCCUCAUUACUUUUGAAGUAGAAAGUAUAACUUUUUCGAGUCGAGGGCUGAUUAAUCAGGUGCCUCAUUACUUUUGAAGUUGAAAGUAUUUUUUUUUUGGGUCGAGGGCUGAUUAAUCAGGUGCCUCAUUACUUUUGAAGUAGAAAGUAUAACUUUUUCGGGUCGAGGGCUGAUUAAUCAGGUGCCUCAUUACUUUUGAAGUUGAAAGUAUAACUUUUUUGGGUCGAGGGCUAAUUAAUCAGGUGCCUCAUUACUUUUGAAGUAGAAAGUAUAACUUUUUCGGGUCGAGGGCUGAUUAAUCAGGUGCCUCAUUACUUUUGAAGUUGAAACUAUAACUUUUAAGAAAUUUGCUCUGAUCAAAAUUUGAUGUAUUUAUUUAACGAUCAAGAUAUAAUACAUUUUUUUUUCAUUUUCUAGUCUGCUAGGGCAGUAGCUUAUUCAGCAUUAUGCUUCUUAUUAUAGUUCGAUUUCACCUGCCGCUAAUUUUUCAUGAUAAAUUCUCCUCAAAUUACGACAAUUCAUGAUGGAAUGUCCUGGGUAUUGAUGAUACACGCAAAAGUCUGAUCUCUUCUUCAUCUCCUCGGUCACAACAAAUCUGGGUUUUGGAGGCUUCACCAUUCCAUUUUCUACCCAUUUCUCAUACAAAUCUUUAAAUAUCUCCUCACCACAAGUGAUAGCUUCGGGCUCUAGCGAAUUUAUAUUCUUUUUGAUUCUUUCCCUCUUGCCCCCCUGUGGCUCUGACUGAGAGUCUGUCAAAGCCGUAGUAGCUGUCCUCUUACUCUUCCAGGUAGCAAUCGGAUGGUUCACAGAUACUGCCAUAAUUUCUCCAUGGUCCUGUGCAAAGGUGGAAAGUGUCGCAAAGGAAUCACAAGACUUAGUGAUCAAGUGGGGCUUGAAGGCGUCGAGGGCGCCGUUGUUGCAAAUACUCACUAAAUUCUUCUCUUCGAUUGGCUCCACACACUUCCGCGCCUGGGCCCGAAAGGUGGAAAGUGUCGCAAAGGAAUCACAAGACUUAGUGAUCAAGUGGGGCUUGAAGGCGUCGAGGGCGCCGUUAUUGCAAAUACUCACUAAAUUCUUCUCUUCGAUUGGCUCCACACACUUCCGCGCCUGGGCCCGAAAUCUGUCAACAUAAUCAGAUAACUCCUCAUUCGAAUUUUGUUGAAUUCUCAUAAGCUCUAUAAUUGACACUUCCUUCUGAACAUAAAAGAAUUUUUUGAAAAACUGGUGUUUCAUAUCAUCCCAAUCUCGAAUCGAACCCUUCUCCAAAUUGUAGUACCAGCUGAAGGCACCGUUAGUGAGCGUCUUGUUAAACUCCCUCAAUAGAAUAUUGUGGUUGCUCACUUCAUCUAUUCCCAACCACGAGGACAUCGACUCCACAAAUCUUGCAAUAUGCUCUCUCGCAUUCCCUUUCUCUCCACUAUACUUAGGGAACUGAAGUGGAUGUUCAAUGUACCCAGCAGGGUAUGGCUGUCUUCUCACAUGCGCCGGGUAUGGUGGGGUGAAAUCCAGUUCCGCAGGCCUGACUGUCUGUCUACGCAUCUGAUUGAUUACAUCCAUCAUGUCUUCCCUUGUCGCAUAUUGACUGGUUUCUGGAGCCUUUUGGGACGUCAUCGCAUACUGGUUUAUCUGAGGUGUAUGUGGAACACAUGUUGAUGCACACUUGCCUCAUGUAAGAUUGGUUGUACUUGCUGGAUUAUUGGUUGUAUAUGGCUUGGGAUGGUUGGUAUCUGCACUUGUGAAAAUGCUGGGAGUGUAAUCGGGAUGAUGUUUAGCUGAGGCUGGCUAGCUUCCAAUCUAAGUGGUGGUACAUCACCACUGUUCUGGGGCUCCAAGUUGAUGACUGGAAUCGGCUGACUCUCCAUUGCUGGAGGUAUAAUCUGAUUCUCUUUGUUGUUGUUGUUGUUGUCCUCCACUUCUCCUGCUCGUCCCCCUUGCGAACUUCCUGGGAACAUGGUCUUGAAAGUGGGGAUUUGCAUCAACUGCUGGCAAAAAUUCUCCAUUUCUUCUUGCUUUCUCUGCAUCUCUAGCAUCAUGGCCAUCAUCAUCCCUUGCCCUUCUCGUGCUUCUUUCAAUGCUUUAAGCAUCUCCAGUUGCACAGCAUUCGUCUGGUCUCCCCCUGCAUCUUCGCCUUGCCUUCUUGCAUUGGUUUGUUGUUGAUUGGCCAUAUGUGGUGAUGUCGAACUCCCUUCCAAAGCGUCUUCAAUAAUUGGUUGGUCAAAAUCCAGGUUUGCGCCUUGGAAAACUUGAGUUACUUGUCUUGGAACUGGAUCCGGUGACGUAAUGCUAUUUGUUGGUGAAGCAGCUCUUCCUGUAAUUCUCCCACUUCGAGUCGUGGGCAUACCCUUCACGAAUUAUACACCUCCCCAGCAGAGUCGCCAAAGAAAUGUGGGCAAGGAAAUUGUACCUUAGUAGGGUUAGGGUUUCGUGUUGGCUGAGGAGGAGAGAAAUCCACGAAGAGCACGGAAUUGAUUGGUUGAUUGAAGAGGGGAGAACGACAGGUGGGCGAUUACUCCAACGACGUGUGGCAGAACCCCUAGAAUACAGGAACCGUGUUAGGGUAGUAGGGUUUCCAAGAUCCUUCUUGAGUCCUUUGUUCUUGAGAGAAUGUCUAAACCCCUUUUAGUGCUUUUAGGUGGAAUCUCCGAGCCUUUAAGUCACCAAAAAGGGUCCUUUGAUCUUCCGAGAGUCCAAGUCUUGAGUCUAAAGAGAAGUCCCUUUCCCAAUGGAAUGGAAGGGGUAUUUAUAGGGUUUUCUGGAAAGUAGUCAUGUGCGAGGCACAUGCUUUCAGGGAAAUUCCAGAAAUGCCCUUUAGUCAUUAGAAUAAUGCCCAUGUUGCCCUGUCCUUCUAGCCACCAAUCCAAUCCCUCAAUCAAUUCCCACAUCGAGCCGCCUCCACGAGUCUUCUGCCUCGGGACACGUGGAGGCUUCUCCCAGGUCUAGCACAUUUAUUUAUGACUUUUUUGUCUUCAUUCCAUUCGGUUAUGCGAACCCUAAUUUGCACAUUUAAUGAGGUCGUGGAACCCUAAUUGCGCAUUUAAUUCAAUUAGGUCAUGUGAACUCUAAUUUUACACUUGGGCCCACACUAGUAAAUGAUGAUUUUCUUCUAACCAGAAGUAUGAGCAGGUUAAAAGUAGAAGAAUAAGCAUCUCGCAGGCCAAAAAUCAAUAAAAAAACGAAAAGAAGAAAAAGAAAAGAAGAAGACAGCAAUAGCAAGACCAUAUUUUUCUUCUUCUUUCUUUUUAUCUUUUCUUUCUUUCUUUUUUGUUUCUUUUUAGACGGAGGGUUUUAUUUCAUCUUUGAAAAUAAACCUAAGAAUUUAUCAAAGGAAAUAAAGGAUAAACGACAAUACAAAUAUAUAUUUUUAUUUUAUUUUCAAAUAUAUACGCAUGCAUGAUAAAGAUUCACAAUUAUACACACAUAUAUAAUAGGCUACAACCAACAAUCUACUAAACAAUUUGUAAACCAUCGAGGUGUUUUAGUGACAACCUACCGUCUACCAAAUCGUUAUUAGUUAACGAGUUAGUGUAAAUUUUCAUUUUGGAAGCUAGUAUAAACUAUCAUCUCUCAAAUUGUUAUUAGUAGAGGAGCUACGAAUGUAAACUAUCGUCUAACAAACUAUAUUAGCUGAUGAACUAGUGUAAACUAUCAUUUACUAGAUGUAUGAGCAUGUUAAGAGUAGAAGAAUAAGCAUCUCGCAGGUAAAAAAAUAGGAAAAGAAGAAGACAACAAUAACAAGGCCACAUUUUUCUUUUUCUUCCUUUUUAUCUUUUUUUUUCUUUUUUGUUUGUUUUUAGACGGAGGACUUCAUUUCAUCUUUGAAAAUGUGGGUAAAGAAAUUGUACCUUAGGUUUUCAUGUUGGCUGAGGAGGAGAGAAAUCCACGAAGAGUACGGGAUUGAUUGAUGAAUUAAAGAGGGCAGAAGAACAUGUGAUCAAUUACUCUAAUGACAUGUGACAAAACUUUUAGGAUCCGAGAACCUUCUUAGGGUGCCAAAGAUCCAGGGAGUCUUCUAGGGUGUGCUUCGGGUUGAGAGAGAAUCUCCAAGUCUUCAAUCUUUCGAAAAGCCCUCUUCUUCAUAGAAUAGAAGGAGUAUUUAUAGAGUUUCCUGGAAAGUGGUCACAUGACAGACAUAUGACCUCGAGCAAAUUCCAAAAAUACCCUUAGUCACCAGAGUAAUGCCCAGAUCGUCCUGUCUUUCUAGCCACCAAUCCAAUUCCUCAAUCAAUUCUCAAAAUGAGUUGCCUCCAUAAGCCUUUUACCAUGGAGGCUCUUCCUUGAUCUCAUGAUACAAAGCUCUUAUUGCUCAAACCAUGCUUACUUGCUCUUCCUUCUUUAUUUAAGAAUCUCGUCGCCAGAAAUCAUCGGAAGAACUCUGCGCAAGACCCGGGAAGCCGCGUGUUACAAACCAGUCCCACAUCGAAAGAUAUGGAAAAAAAUUAGUCUAUAUAUAAGGAAUUAUGUUACUACCAAUAAUAUACUUUUAAGUCAUGACCUUUUGGGUGAGCCUGUGGUGGGAUAAGAUGACCCAAUAAUAUACUAUUGGGUCAGUGGUUUAAGGCCUUGGGAUUCGGACUUGGGAUUUGACCCAAGAUUUGUUUUGGGCAAUUUUACUCAGGUUGUUACAUAUGGUAUUAGAGCCGACUCUCGAAAGCUCGGGUCGGAUCAUCCGAUCGGGUUGCCGGAAGUGGGGACACGAAACCAGCCGAUAUUAUCCCACAAUGGCUAAAGAGGCAAAGAUCUGUGGAACGUAUAUGUGAUCGAUUUUGAUGGAGAUGUCAAAAAUUUAAGUGGGGUAGUUUAUAACACCUCAGUCCCACAUUGAAAGAUAUGGGAAAUACUAUUGUGCAAUGAUUUAAGCUAUCCAGCUAUAUUGUUAUAGUUUGGAUAUAUUCCAGUAUGAGAAUUAACAAACCCUGAAAUGGGAUAUUUUUAUUGCACUCUGGGAGUGGUGACGUUGAACAUGGAAGUUGUUCUGGAUAAGAUAGUAUUGAUUAAUAAAGGGCAUAUAUAAAGGGCUGAUCAUCCAUCGUGCUCAUAAGAUAAGAUGGUUCACAAAUAAAUUUUUAAGAAAACCUUUUCAAGAAAAGAAAAAGCUUGUUCACGGUCUUAUGACCUCUCAGAUGUUCAAUAUUGAUAUGAUAUUCCAGGAAUAUGAAUGAUUCAAGAUUUAAUUGCUUUACAGUUUUGUUUCACUGUUAAAGCAUGUCUCAAAGAAAACAUUUAAUUAUUGUUAAGAUAUUAAAGAAUGCUAUUACUUAUUGAGCAAUUGAAUGCUCAUUCUUGUUUUGUUAUAAAUGUUUUCAGCUAAUCAGGCUCCAACGGAGGGGUCUAAUAGAGACAAAGGAAAAGGAAAAGCUACUGAGUAGUAGGUAUAUGUUGUAAUAAAUAGUUUAUAUGUUUGUAGAUAUUUAACUAUCAUGUAAUAAGCACUUAAUGGUUACGUACCUGGUAUUAGAAGAACUCUGAUAUAAUAAAUCUAUCAAGUUUGAUAUUAUAUUAUGUUGAAUGCUUGAUAUCUUGAAGCACUGAAUAAGGGUUUAAAAUACCCGAAUUUGGGGGCGUCACACGCCCGAUUCGCCUCCUUUGCGUAUGUUUAACAUGCUCAUACAACUUGUCUAAUACUCCAUUGAUUAAUUCUAAGUAUCAUUAUAUUUCAUAACUUUCAUGUUUAAUAACUUAGAAUAACAUAUUUUAUCGUCAAAAGCAUCCACGUAGUACGAGCAUGCCCGACGCCCUCCGAUCGCCUCCGAUCGAAUGCACAAUAGUCCUAAAAAUAGCCAUUUUAGCCCCUUCUCCCGACCUCAAAUCUCAAAACUUAUAAAAUAAAAGUUUUAGGUCAACUUCUAAUAUUUUCGAAUCAUCUUGAAUCACCUCAAUCAGAGUUCGUAUAAAAAGGUUAUGCAUGUUUUACUAAAGAACGUCAAAGCUGACUUUCUGCACUUUUGGUUCAGCGCCCAUCCUAGGCCUAUUUCCAACGCCCCGGGGCUGGACGGCAGUACGUUCUCAGCCAAAAACUUCAAUUUUCAAAAAUCUUCAGUUUUGAAUGAUUUCAACAUGUCUACUUUGAAAUAUCAUAAAUUUCUCCUCCGAUAUCGAAAUGAGCUCGUUCUUAAUGGGUUGAAAAGCUUGCAACACCCUCUACAAAUUUCUCAGGACAAAAUAAUUUUCUGGAUUCUCUAACAAUCCUUUAAACUUUCUCAAAAGUCCAUCGAGACUAAGAUUUUUAUCAUUCAACAUACUUUACCAAAAUUUUCUGCCAUGACUUCGUUUUAACAUAUUUUUACUCCGUUCCAAUUAGAAUAUCUUCAUAAAUUCCUUAUCUAUAAAUCCUUAUUCCCGAAUUUUAUUUAUUACAACCCUAUCAACAAUAUUAAAAUCCAAUUUAAGUACUCUAAAUAAAUAAUGUCUAUCCUUUAAGCUUUGGCCUACGAUUCCAUUCUUGUUACCACUUCUUAUGCAAUUUAACAAGUUAUUUAUCAUGAUCAAAGCACACAUAACUUUAUUUACUCAAGGUCCUUCAUACUCUUUCAUUAAACAACCAUCGCCAACAACUAAUGAUUCAAGAAAGACUUCACAGAAAUGAAAAGAUGGAUGGUUCUUACCUUCUUAGUUAUUCUUCUUCUUCCUAGCUUAUGCUUUGUUAGCAUGAUAUACAUUGUUGGGCCCUCCAUCUACCAACUUAAGCUUUUAAGAUAAGUUGGUUACUUAACAUGGUAUCAAAGCUUUGGGUGUGCAAGGUCUUGGGUUCGAAUUUUUCCAGCUGCACAAUUAUCUUUCUAUUAAUUUAACAGUGCAAAUGCACUUUAAUUUCUCCCUUCUCUAUAAAAAAAAGUUGCGUUUGAGAGGGAGUGUUAGCAUGAUAUACAUUGUUGGGCCCACCAUGCAUCUAACAGCUUAAGCUUUUAGAUGAGUUGGUUACUUUGCUCUUCUUUCUCUUCUUAUUGGUAUUCGGCCUCUCUAUUUCUCUCUCUCUCUCACUCUCUUGUUUUCUUUCUCUUCUCUCUAGUUUGCCCUCUCUUCCUUUUUUUUUCUUGCAAAUGAAAUGAAUUGGCUAAGUGAAAAAUCCUCUAGAUCAAUUGAAUUCUCCACUAACUAACUCAACCAUACUUCUAAGGUUAGGUUAACUCGUGUAGGGUUAGGGAAUGAUAGGAUGACACUUGUAAGCUUAAUGUUUAAGGAUGACAAGAAGAUAUAAGCUAGCAUUAAAUUAAAUUUUCACCUUGCUAGAUGAGUCACACAUACUCUCCCUUUUGCUUCUUUAAUUGGUUGGAUCACCCCUCCCUUUCUUAGCUCAUAUUUUAAUUAUCCCAUGUGGGAUAAACAUCAAUCCUCUCCCUUAUCUUACUUUUUCACCCAACUUAUCUUUUAUGAGAUAACUACUAAGUCUCAUUCCUUAUCUUUUCUUCGAUAAGCCUUGUCAUUAAUCCUUAUCUCUUCCUUGUUUUCCUUCAACCCAAACUUACCAUAAAUAGAAAGUUUCCAUCUCACCUUCUCUCUUCUCCUUGUCCAUAUUCAAAUCCCCACAUGUUUAAUUCUAGCAAAUGACACUUGCCCUCUUAUAACUUUGGCUCCUAGUUUGGCUCACUUUUUGGCUCAAAGACCAAGCCAUGGCUCCUAUCCUUUGACUCUAAGCUUAAGCCACUCAAACCUUAGGCUCAACCCUUAGCUAAGCCCCUUUAAAUUCCUAACCAAGUCAUUUAAACCUUAGGUUUGGUUAGACUAGAAUUAAUUUAAUUUCUCUUUUUCUUUUAAAUUAGUUAGAUUUCCUAAUUUUUUAGUUACAUUUUUCGUAAUAUGCUUGGUUAGCUGACAAUCCGACUUUUGAUUUUCAAAAAUCCAAUUUCGCCACCAUUCCUUCUUUCCCGAAUAAACGCUAUGUAGUUCUUCGAAAUUUUAAAAAAAACGAAGUUGGGUUUUUAGCGUGAAUAGUUUUUUUUCAUACGACUUUUUCUAGAAAAAUAUUUUAUUAGAGAUUUCAUCUCGCCUUCUCAAAUAAACACUAUGAUGUAAUUCAAAAUUCUCGAAAAAGUAUGUUUAUUAGCGUUUUUCUGUGAUUUUAAAAAUAGUAACUUUUUCGUCUUUUUCUCGAAAAAAUUAUAUUCUCCCAAAACUCCCAACACUUAUACAUAAUCACGUAACACGUAAACUAGGUCAUUAAUCGACCUAAAUCAUGUAACACAUAAUAAUAUCUAUAAAAUUUUAUUUUAUUAGAUAUUCACAAAUAAAACCUAUUUUCAAGCCUAUCUGAAUUCUCGGGUCGUCACAUAGUAUUUAUAGAGUUUCAUGGAAAGUGUUCACAUGCCAGGAACAUGACCUCAUGGAAAUUCAAGAAAUACCCUUAGUCACCAGAGUUAUGCCUAGAUCAUCUUGUCCUUCUAACCACCAUGCAAUCCAAUCCCUCAAUCAAUUUCAAAAAUGAGUUGCCUCCAUAAGCCUUCUGCCUUGGGACCCAUGGAGGCUCCUCCUCGAUCUCAUGCUUCAAAGCAAUUGUUGCUCAAACCAUACUUUCUUACUAUUCCUUCUUUAUUUGAGAAUCUCGUCGAUGGAAAUCCUCGGAAGAACUCUGCGCAAGAACCAGGAGGCCGCGCCUUAGGGGGGCAAUCCUUAGGGGGCGGAACCCUAGGGAGCUGAACCCUAGGGGGGCCUCCUUCAGUUCUUUUCGUUCGUUUCAACCUUUCUUGGUCAGUUUUCAUCAUUUUCUCAUGAUUCUUGGUCCUGUAAGAAGCCUUUCUUGUCAUAGAGAUUAUAAGGCUAAUCAUUAUUUGGAGUUUCACAAGAUUUUAGUUUAUUUUUGUAGUCCAGGCUUAUUUCUUUGUCAUUGCAUCGAUGAAACCCCUUCUAGCAUGCCAAUCGAGAAAAUGAGGUAGCAUAUGCCCUAGGGUGCCGAACCCUAAGAGGUAAUUUAGAUUUCUUUUGUCCAUCUUUUGUCUGUUUUCCUUUUUUCAUUACGAUAGUUCCAACCAAAUCCAGUCGGAGAAGAAAUUGGUUUUAUCUUUUCUUUAAGGAGAAGUCAUCUUGGAGUGGUUGAACCAUAGGGUGGCCGAACCCUAAGGGGCCAAAAUCCUAGGAUUUUUCCCUUUUUGCUGAUUUAAUGCUUCGUUCAUUAAUUGAAGUCUUGUUCAUUUACUUUCGUCUUUUCAUUUAAUUCAAUUAAAUCAUAUGUAAACCCUAAUUUGUACUUGGGCUCACAGAAAAUAAACCUAAGAAUUCAUCAAAGGAAAUAAAAGAUAAAUGACAAUACAAAUAUUGCGUUUUGUUUUGUCUUAUUUUUUUAAUUUUAUUUUCAAAUAUAUACGCAUGCAUGAUAAAGAUUCACAAUUAUGUAUAUAUAUAUAUACAUAUAGAUACAUAAUAUGGUAAAUAAUAGGUGGUAGUUGUUUUAUUUAUAAUAUGGUAAAUAAUAGGUGGUAGUUGAUUUAUUUAUUACAUGCUAAUAACAGCCAUGAGUUGAUAGUUGAUUUAUUUAUUAUAUGCUAAUAACAGCUAUCAGUUAUUGGUUGAUUUAUUUAUAUAUCGUGCUAAUAACAACCAUCAACUUGUAUAUAGUUUCUUGAUUUACUGCUGAUCGGAAGAUUACUGAUCGUUCAUUUAGGCGUUGGUGGGACUAAUGUUAACACCAUAGAUAACUAAACCCGUCUUCAUAGUCACGCUUUCAGUCCCGUCAAGAGCAAAUUUGAUAUCUCCAUAGUCAAACUUAUUGAAGAAUUCCC